UAGUAACGGCGAGUGAAGCGGGAUGAGCUCAAGCUUAAAAUCUCCGUGCAAUUUUUGCAUGGCGAAUUGUAGUCUAUAGAGGCGUGGUCAGUGUGGGCACUUGAGGUAAGUUCCUUGGAAAAGGACAGCAUGGAGGGUGAUACUCCCGUUCAUCCUUAAGUUGCUUGUGCGUACGACCCGUUUUCUUUGAGUCGCGUUGUUUGAGAAUGCAGCGCAAAGUAGGUGGUAAAUUCCAUCUAAAGCUAAAUAUUGGUGCGAGACCGAUAGCAUACAAGUACCGUGAGGGAAAGAUGAAAAGAACUUUGAACAUAGAGUUAAAGAGUACCUGAAACUGCUGAAAGGGAACCAAAUCGUUUCCAGUGUCUAUAAUCCAUGGUAUAUUUCAUUGGCGAGCGUGUGCGUGCGUGUGCUAUAGCAGUGGCCUUUGGCUGCGCUAGGCGUGUGUGCUGCGUGUGCUUGCUGGUGCCCUGUGCUAUGGUGGGACGUCAAGGUCAGUUCGUAUACUGCGGGAAAUGGCUACCGAGGAGGUAGGGCUUACGCUUGCGUUUGUCUGUUAUAUCUUGGUAGACGAGUAGUCGCGGUUGGGACUGAGGUGCCUACAACGUGCUUUUGAGUGGGCUUGGGUCUCUGUGUGCGCCGUGUGCGGAUAGCYURCUAUGCGUGUGUGGUUGUGUGUGGAUUGAU
rnacentral:rRNA from 1 species